CCCUUGCAAUGCAACAGAAAAAUCUUUUGGCAUGACCCAACCAUCCCCCUACAACAAUCUGCUUAAAAUUACGUGUAUUUGAACUGUUUGGCUUUCCAUAUA